rnacentral:rRNA from 1 species
CCUACGGGAGGCAGCAGUGGGGAAUAUUGGGCAAUGGAGGAAACUCUGACCCAGCGACGCCGCGUGCGGGAUGAAGGCCUUCGGGUUGUAAACCGCUUUCAGCAGGGAAGAAGCGAAAGUGACGGUACCUGCAGAAGAAGCACCGGCUAACUAUGUGCCAGCAGCCGCGGUAAUACAUAGGGUGCAAGCGUUGUCCGGAAUUAUUGGGCGUAAAGAGCUCGUAGGUGGUUCGUCACGUCGGAUGUGAAAAUCUGGGGCUUAACCCCAGACCUGCAUUCGAUACGGGCGAGCUUGAGUAUGGUAGGGGAGUCUGGAAUUCCUGGUGUAGCGGUGGAAUGCGCAGAUAUCAGGAGGAACACCAAUGGCGAAGGCAGGACUCUGGGCCAUUACUGACACUGAGGAGCGAAAGCGUGGGGAGCGAACAGGAUUAGAUACCCUGGUAGUCCACGCCGUAAACGGUGGGCACUAGUUGUGGGGACCUUCCACGGUCUCUGCGACGCAGCUAACGCAUUAAGUGCCCCGCCUGGGGAGUACGAUCGCAAGGUUGAAACUCAAAGGAAUUGACGG